rnacentral:rRNA from 1 species
AGAGUUUGAUCCUGGCUCAGGACGAACGCUGGCGGCGUGCCUAACACAUGCAAGUCGAACGAAGCAUUUAAGUGAAUCCCUUCGGGGUGAAGCUUUUAUGACUUAGUGGCGGACGGGUGAGUAACGCGUGAGUAACCUGCCUUUCAGAGGGGGAUAACAGUUGGAAACGACUGCUAAUACCGCAUAACGUACAUUUAAGGCAUCUUAGAUGUACCAAAGCUGAGGCGCUGAAAGAUGGACUCGCGUCCGAUUAGAUAGUUGGUGGGGUAACGGCCUACCAAGUCGACGAUCAGUAGCCGGACUGAGAGGUUGAUCGGCCACAUUGGGACUGAGACACGGCCCAGACUCCUACGGGAGGCAGCAGUGGGGAAUAUUGCACAAUGGGCGAAAGCCUGAUGCAGCAACGCCGCGUGAGGGAAGACGGUUUUCGGAUUGUAAACCUCUGUCUUUGGUGAAGAUAAUGACGGUAGCCAAGGAGGAAGCCACGGCUAACUACGUGCCAGCAGCCGCGGU